ACUUUCUACAUUCCUUGUCUCCUCCUCCAUCUCCACAAAUUAACAUUGCCCUGGUUUUCCAUUUCUUUAGGUUGUGGGUGAAUCACACCUACCUCCGAUAUCUUCUAUUCUUUCUCCGCUCACAGAAAGGUAUCUUUUAGUGGAUGUAGUGGUUUCGAAGAUAAUUUUGAAUGAGGUACCAAGUCAUGAGGGUUAUUGAAGACAUCCUUUAUUCUGAGCUAGGAAUAGGUAGUUGGUGGUCUUCGUUGCUAGCAGAGUACUCGAAUUUUUGAGACACAGGUAACCAGGAUCAGCACGCGAUGCUUCGUUGAUCCAUUUUAAUCAUCCAGAGUCAAUGGUCCAGUCGUUGAAGGGAUUUUAGAGAAGACUUGAAGAAGACUUGGAUCACUUAAUCAUCCAAGUAAGGUAGGUCCUCACUUUUCGAGGGCGAUGCCACUAUCAAGCCUAUGAUAUUGCUUUAGUGUUCAAGACUCUUAUGUUUCUUUCCUUUUCAUUUGGAUAUUAAAUGUUGUAUGAACUAUAUGUGGUGUAUGGGCUAGUCCUAAUUUGAUAUACUCGUAUUAGAUGGAUAUGAGACAGGACGACUAUUUUGAGACUAUGUUAUAUUCUAUAUA